GUCCAGUUCACACCACCUGAAAAACUGAGGGCCUCAGAGAAACUGAGGCCUCAGAGAAACAGAGAAACUGAGGGCCUCAGAGAACUCCUGCAGGCCCUCCAGCUGGCCACUGCCAGCCCUGCCCAGGACCCCAUAUCUCACCAGUUACUUGUGUCCACCCUGUCUCCUUGCUCCAUCCUACCCCAGUUUAGAGAGUGAGAAUGCUGGCUGGGACCCCAAAGACCUAUCUGCAACUCCCCAACUCCAAGAAAGGGGGGGCUCCAACAAGGCAGGGCUGUAAUGAGAUGGAAGAUUUGGGCUAAUCCGGAGCCAAAUGAGGGCCUAAUUCCUGCUGUAAAAAUCUGUCAGCUGCUAGUUAACAGUUCCUCUGGCCCUGGGCUUGAGGGUGGGGGUGGGGGGUGGCCUCUGUUUGCAGGAGCAGUUGGGCUUGUACCUAGGGUGUUGUUUUUCUCCCUUUUCCUUGUUUUUACGUUUUUGGAAUGUGAAUAUAAACUUUAUGGAGGGGCCUGGUCUCUGUUCACACCGGGUGCUAAUAACCCACAGCUGAAAGCAGAGGCUCAGAGGAAACCCGGGAGGUGCAGCGCGCAGAAGGCUACAGGAACCGGAGGGGCGGGCACGCGGCUGGAGGAGGGGGCCGGGACGAUAUUUAAUAUUUAAUUUGCUGGGUUUUUUUUUUUUUUAAUGUGGAAACUUUUAGACACAAACUGGCCCCUGUGUUUAAGUCAUUAAAACAUCUUUAAGCA
rnacentral:lncRNA from 1 species